rnacentral:rRNA from 1 species
UACGGGGGGGGCAAGCGUUGUUCGGAAUUACUGGGCGUAAAGGGCUCGUAGGUGGUCAACUAAGUCGGACGUGAAAUCCCUCGGCUUAACCGGGGAACUGCGUCCGAUACUGGAUGACUUGAGUUCGGGAGAGGGAUGCGGAAUUCCAGGUGUAGCGGUGAAAUGCGUAGAUAUUCGCAAGAACACCAGUGGCGAAGGCGGACUCGCUGGCCCGAUACCUGACGCUGAGGCACG